GACGAACGCUGGCGGCGUGCCUAAUACAUGCAAGUAGAACGCUGAAGAGAGGAGCUUGCUCUUCUUGGAUGAGUUGCGAACGGGUGAGUAACGCGUAGGUAACCUGCCUUGUAGCGGGGGAUAACUAUUGGAAACGAUAGCUAAUACCGCAUAUCAAUGGAUGACACAUGUCAUUUAUUUGAAAGGGGCAAUUGCUCCACUACAAGAUGGACCUGCGUUGUAUUAGCUAGUAGGUGAGGUAAUGGCUCACCUAGGCGACGAUACAUAGCCGACCUGAGAGGGUGAUCGGCCACACUGGGACUGAGACACGGCCCAGACUCCUACGGGAGGCAGCAGUAGGGAAUCUUCGGCAAUGGGGGCAACCCUGACCGAGCAACGCCGCGUGAGUGAAGAAGGGUUUCGGAUCGUAAAGCUCUGUUGUAAGUCAAGAACGGGUGUGAGAGUGGAAAGUUCACACUGUGACGGUAGCUUACCAGAAAGGGACGGCUAACUACGUG
rnacentral:rRNA from 1 species